rnacentral:rRNA from 1 species
UAGGGAAUCUUCCACAAUGGACGCAAGUCUGAUGGAGCAACGCCGCGUGAGUGAAGAAGGGUUUCGGCUCGUAAAGCUCUGUUGUUAAAGAAGAACGUGGAUAAGAGUAACUGUUUACCCAGUGACGGUAUUUAACCAGAAAGCCACGGCUAACUACGUGCCAG